GGCGGCGUGGCCGAGUGGUCCUGGGCGCUGGGUUUGAAAUCUGGAGUUCCCUGGUUCAAAUCCUGCAUCCUGCCA